UAGGAAGUUAGCAUCAUCCAUGUCAUUGUCCCAGUCAGUGUCGGAGGAUGCAGCUGUUGACAGCUUACUAGUUAUGACAUUAGAUUCUGGGAAGAAUCAUGCAAAGACCUUUACAUCUAUUACCUCCGGUCAAAUUAUGAAAGGGGAAAUUUUUUUCCUCUUUUUGUGUUUUCUCCAAU